AGGAUGACCUUGAACAACUGAUCCUCCUGCCUCUGCCUUCUUAGUGGUGGGAUAACGGGCUUGUAUUCCAUACUUAGCUCUUGUUCUUAGAACAUUCUCUGAAGUAACAGCAGCAGCUGUAAAACCAGAACUGUUUGCUGUAUUAGGCAUUAACUUGACAGAUGAGGCAGUUGCUGUUUGAGAGAUGUUACUAUUUAUUGAGCAGCAACAAAUACCAUAGCUGUUUCCACUUUCAACUCUAACAUCAAAUUUGAAUACUGACCAAAAAUAUAAAAAUUGAGUAAUAAUCUCAAUUCCUUAACUACCUAGGGCUUUAAAGUAUUCUGAGAAAAAGUACCAAAGUAAUCUUAAAAGUAUUCUCAGGAAGCAAUACUUUAAAAUUUUCUGCUUUGAAUAACUACUUUGAGAUUUUAAAAGCAUAAUUCUUUACCAAAAGAAAAAAAUGUCAGAUAUAAUGUAAGUUUAUGGAUUUAGGAAUAAAGUGUAUACAUGUUUAUUAUACUGGUGGCCUGAUUAGAGUGUGUGUAGGGGUUUAUGGCAUUCAAUGAUGAGGGAAACAACAUUUCUAAUUACUUGCCUUCCAACUAUUAGUGACUUGUACAAGUAGAAUAUACAGUGCUUUAGAGUGAGAGCAGUUUUGUUUUAAAACCAGUGAGGUUGAAUGUGGCUGUUUUAAGUUGGAAAUUUAAGCAUUAUGUACAUUUAUAAAAUCCGAUGUCAGUGUCCCAUACCUUUAAUUUAACUACAUUUUUGCUGAAAACACUAAAUUGACAUACAAAAUGAUGAAACAUAAGGUUAUAAUAAAAGUAAAAGAAGCAAUCUUUUUACGUAAGGCAUUAUGGCAUAGAAUUAUUCAUUGAUCUGGUAUUUAAAACCCAAAAUUUUAACCUAAAAGAAACUGAAAGGAAUUAUUCAGUCUUUUGUUACCCGCUUCCUUUUGCAUCUUUAAUAGGUGUAUAUAUACUGCAUUAAAUCUGAAAUGCUUUGAAAUACAUAAUCUUUUUUUUUUUUUUAAUAGAACAUAUACAGAAAAAUACACUACUAUAGAGAGGAUGUUGAAAGACUGGUAUGAGCUGGAUGGUGGUGCACACCUUUAAUCCCAGCACUCAGGAGGCAAAGGCAGGAGGAUCUCUGUGAGUUCAAGGCCAACCUGGUCUACAGAGUGAGUUCCAGGACAGCCAGGGCUACAUAGAGAAACCCUGUCUCGAAAAAUAAAACAAACAAACAAAAAAAACCCCAAAAACCAAAACAACAAAAGACUGGUAUAUAACAUUAAAAAAAUCAUUUUUUUUUUUUUGUGAGCAUAAUUUCCUUUAAUCCCUCCCUCCCCAUUUCAUAAUAGUGUAUCAUUCUGAAGUUGAACCUGUCAAGUGAGUAUAAAGUGAUCCUGGAUUUCAAGUCAUUUAACAUGAAAAUGGAAAUGUGAAGUUUUCUUAAAAUUAGUUUUCAUCUUCUGUCACAUCUAAUUCUUCGUCAUCUUCAUCUUCUAGUUGUUGGUCCUUCCUUGUUCGACAGGUCGUUAUCUGUUAAGAAUUAACACAUGAAAAAAUAAAAACAUGUUUUUACACAUUUGGCAUCUUUUUACGUGUCCUUAUAAGAAAGGGAAUGUAGAACAACUAUUUCAGAAAAUGACUAAGUUCCCUGUGAAUUUUAAGAUCGAAGUCUCCAUUUAUCAGUAUAUAUGAAGUUAACCAUAUUUGAUUCCAGUAGUAUGCUUCAGUAACAUAAAGUUCCAUUACUGUGUAUUGUGAAUGUGAAAGUAAGUUAAACAAUCCUUGCAGUAUCGGAAUGAGAAUCAUCAAAUGGAUGUCAGUCAGACAGCAAUACUGACAUUAGAAAUAAUGUGGAAUGAGUUGAGAACCAACUCACUAGCUGUCCAUCUUAUUCUUAGCUAUCUUACCAGGUCAACCUCUCUGAGGGUUAUCUGUGCCACCCAGGAGACACUGGGCAAUGUUUGGACACUAGAGGUGGUCACAUUGUGGAUAUGGAUUGCUAAUGACAUGUUGCUCAACAUCUUUACAGUACACAUAUGGACAGUAUCUCUAUCCAACCCCCAAGUACCUGAUCUCAGCCUAUUUAACCUGGUAUUACCGCAGACAAAAUAUCCUCAACUAAAAAUCCUUUCUGUGGCUCUUCCCUACCAGAGUCAAAUGUUUCAAGUGACCUUCAGAAACCUAGUGUCACUCAAACUUACAGAACUAACUUAUGUGGGGGAAUGGACAUGAUACUGUGCCUCUUUAUUGCUGGUUCCUCAGCAGGACAUCUCUGCAGAUUUACCAAUCCUUAAGAGCCAAGACAAAUGUUACCUUUCCCCUGUCUAGUAGCCAGUGGCUCCUAUUCUCACUCUCAAGGGUAAUUGUUAUGUUACUAUCUUUAAUCAGAUGUCUCUACAACUAGCUUUAUGUUUCUAGUGAAAGGAACCCUGUUUUAUCUUUGCCAUUCUUCCAAAUAAAUGGUGCUAAUUAAAUUCACUUUUGCCCAAUGAAUUUUAACACAAACAUAAUCCCCAUUUUGUGGAAGUAAAGAACCAAACUAAGGACUGUCCUUUACAUUCUUCUAAGCCAGUGGUUCUCAACCUUCCUAAUACGGCGACCCUUUAAUCAUUCUUCAUGUUGUGGUGACCUCCAACCAUAGUUAUUUUGUUGUUACUUCAUAACUAAUUUUGCUCUUAUGAAUCGUAAUGUAAAUAUCUGUUUUCUGAUGGUGUCAGGUGACUCUUGUGAAAGGGUCAUUCAUCCCCAAAGGGGUCAUGGCACAGGUUGAAAACCACUGCUGUAAGCCUUCCACUACUGCAGAAUACAAAUGGAAUCAAGGGGUACAAUUUAGGAUAUAAGAACUGUAUUUUAGGGUAGUUGAAUAAUUAAGAUAGCAGAUUUUACAUUGAGGUCACACUGACAUCCAGGUAUAACAGAUGGGUGGUUCAUUGUCACCUAGUAUUGAGAGGGAAUAUAUUUUUGUUUGAACACUGUAAACUUUUCUAACAAAGAAACAUGAUAUGGAACCCUUGAGAUAAACUUUAAACAAGUAUUAAGAUGAACCCUUUGGCUAUAAAAACAACAGAUUUACAGAAGAAUGAAUGUAUUGACAGUGUAUUUCUCAACAUGAUCCAAAAAUCAAGAAGCAAUCACAAGAUCUGGAUAUCCUCUCAACUGAAAGCACAGAAAUUAUUCUUGAAGUGGGCCUGAGAAAUACUAUUUAUGUGAGGAACAAGAUAGUUUGUAAUAAGUGCAAAAAGUUAGCUGCUGCACGAAUAAAUGUAUGGUUCUCAUAAAGUA